UUUCUACCUCCUACCGAUAGAGAUAGAGGUAGCCUUCUCUUUAUAUUGAACUGUUUUUGCUGUGUGGUCCAAGCAAAGAGAAAGACCCCACUCCCCUUAAACCAGUUCCGCUGUCCUUUACCUAUACAUUUAUGUAUUUUUAUUUCA